UACGUAGGGUGCAAGCGUUGUCCGGAAUUAUUGGGCGUAAAGAGCUCGUAGGCGGUCUGUCGCGUUGUUCGUGAAAACUCACAACUCAAUUGUGGGCGUGCGGGCGAUACGGGCAGACUGGAGUACUGCAGGGGAGACUGGAAUUCCUGGUGUAGCGGUGGAAUGCGCAGAUAUCAGGAGGAACACCGAUAGCGAAGGCAGCUUGCUACACAAUAAUUGACGCUGAGGCACGAAAGCGUGGGGAUCAAACAGG
rnacentral:rRNA from 1 species